AACGAACGCUGGCGGCAUGCCUAACACAUGCAAGUCGAACGAGACCUUCGGGUCUAGUGGCGCACGGGUGCGUAACGCGUGGGAACCUGCCCUUAGGUUCGGAAUAACUCCCCGAAAGGGGUGCUAAUACCGGAUAAUGUCUUCGGACCAAAGAUUUAUCGCCUUUGGAUGGGCCCGCGUUGGAUUAGCUAGUUGGUAGGGUAAAAGCCUACCAAGGCGACGAUCCAUAGCUGGUCUGAGAGGAUGAUCAGCCACACUGGGACUGAGACACGGCCCAGACUCCUACGGGAGGCAGCAGUGGGGAAUAUUGGACGAUGGGCGAAAGCGUGAUCCAGCAAUGCCGCGUGAGUGAUGAAGGCCUUAGGGUUGUAAAGCUCUUUUACCCGGGAUGAUAAUGACAGUACCGGGAGAAUAAGCUCCGGCUAACUCCGUG
rnacentral:rRNA from 1 species